CCCGUGGUGUGCGGCUGGCCCCACUCAGCUCAGGGCCGCGACACCCAGGGAUCGUUCAUUUUCCUCUGGGAGCCUUCCUCUCCCCGAUUUUCACAAAGCCUUUGAGUCGGCUGACUGGCUUCGCAAGGCUCCCAGUGUUGGAUUAGCUGAACUGCUUAUUCCAGGUGUGUGUGAGGUGCUCGGCGAUCGUGAUGGCUAUUGACCUGGAGAUUAUGAUCGCGAUCGGCGUCUGCCUGCUGAUCGCCGCGUUGGUGCUCAUGUGCUGUUUCCUCUGUCUGUGCUGCAAAGUGUACACAGCGCUGGAGUGAGUGCGGGAGGAAGGAAGGCAGACAGAACCUCUGAAGGGAAAUAGGACGAUGGCAUCGGCAUAAAAGGCAGGUGGCUUGGCUUGGAAGAAGGC